ACAAUAAGGAAACUGUUUCUAUGUUAGAUACUGUAGGUUAAAGAUAGUCUAUAACAAUAAGGACUGUUUCUAUGUUAGAUACUGUAGGUUAAAGAUAGUCUAUAACAAUAAGGACUGUUUCUAUGUUAGAUACUGUAGGUUAAAGACUGUCUAUAACAAUAAGGACUGUUUCUAUGUUAGAUACUGUAGGUUAAAGAUAGUCUAUAACAAUAAGGACUGUUUCUAUGUUAGAUACUGUAGGUUAAAGACUGUCUAUAACAAUAAGGACUGUUUCUAUGUUAGAUACUGUAGGUUAAAGAUAGUCUAUAACAAUAAGGACUGUUUCUAUGUUAGAUACUGUAGGUUAAAGAUAGUCUAUAACAAUAAGGACUGUUUCUAUGUUAGAUACUGUAGGUUAAAGACUGUCUAUAACAAUAAGGACUGUUUCUAUGUUAGAUACUGUAGGUUAAAGAUAGUCUAUAACAAUAAGGACUGUUUCUAUGUUAGAUACUGUAGGUUAAAGACUGUCUAUAACAAUAAGGACUGUUUCUAUGUUAGAUACUGUAGGUUAAAGACUGUCUAUAACAAUAAGGACUGUUUCUAUUUCUGGUGCAUGUCCAAGAUCGAUAAUCAAUAUGUUGUUUAUACAG